rnacentral:rRNA from 1 species
AUGCAGGAGACCGUCGCCCACGCGCCGCCGACGUUGGGCGAGCCGUCGUGAAGCACGACGUCGAAGGCGGUGACCCCCUUGGAGUCCAUGAGCCUUCGCACGGCGGAGCGACACUUGGUGGUGGUGAUGUCCUCCGUGAGGGAGUGCGCGCCGCGGACGGGGAGGAUGGGCACGAGGUGGAAGCCGCCGACGAAGGCGCCGACGGGGGCACGGGCGACGGCCACCUGCAUCCAGCCCCUCGGCGCCGCGCAGAGGUCGAGCACGGCGCGCGCCGCGGACGGAGCGGAUGGGCACGAGGUCGACACCAACGACGAAGGCACCGGCAGGGGCACGGGCGACGGCCACCUGCAUCCAGCCCCCCGGCGCCGCGCAGAGGUCGAGCACGGCGCGCGCCGCGGACGGGGCGGAUGGGCACGAGGUCGACGCCGACGACGAAGGCGCCGGCGGGGGCACGGGCGACGGCUACCUACAUCCAGCCCCUCGGCGUCGCGCAGAGGUCGAGCACGGCGCGCGUCGCGGACGGGGCGGAUGGGCACGAGGUCGACACCGACGACGAAGGCACCAGCGGGGGCACGGGCGACGGCCACCUACAUCCAGCCCCCCGGCACCACGCAGAGGUCAAGCACAGCGUGCGCCGCGGACGGGGCGGAUGGGCACGAGAUCGACGCCGACGACGAAGGCGUGCUACGUCUUGAGCUUGCGUUGGUUUUCCCUGAAGAGGAAAGGGUGAUGCAGCAUAGUAGCGUAAUUAUUUUCCUCAGUUUUUGA